CGACUCCGCGCGGAGGAGCGGGGACCCGGGCCUGCAGUCGGAGGCCCGGCUGCUGGGGGGCACUGGGGCAGGCCUUACCGCCAACCCCGCACCCUCGGCCGGGAGGCUGCAGGUCGGUGGCUAACCCCAGGCGUGUCCCGGGAUGGGACCCGACUCUGCCCUCAGAGACAGGGACAGUCGGGCCAGGCCAACAAACAACCAAAAUCCCAACGUGUGCUGGGCUCACCCGGGACACCAGGGCCGGAGGGAGAGACCCGGGAAGUCACCGAGGCUGCAGGGGAGGCAGCUUUGGCGCUGGGCCUGCGGGAGCCUCUUGUAUAGGAAUUCAUAGCUACCGGGGUUACUGAGGAUGAGUUAGGCUUUGGAACCACAAGUAGAUUUAUUUUCCAAAGAAGAAGAAUAAAAUGGUGCAGGUGAAGAUGCGGAGGAACUGGAUGAGACGCAUAGGAACGCCACUGGGCAGCUCAAAGCGGUGUUCCUGUGAGUUCACCAUGGACCCCUUGAGCCACCGACGCCCCGCCCAGCCUUACACUCAGCAGAAACGCAUACAACAUGUGCUCCAAAAGACAGAAAGACAUGUAGCCGCACAUUCAUAAUUCCUCCAAUUGGGAAGCCUAGCGUCAUCAAGGCAGAUGAAUAUCGUGGAGUAUUCGGGCUUAGGAGCACGACAAACGGAACAGGAGUGAAUGAUCCGCAACUCACAUAACGGGGUGUCUUAUAAGUUUGAAGUUUGCAGAGAGCCCAGGAAAGCUUACCAAGGGGACCAGCAUGCUCACGCCUCUGAGGUUAAGGAGGCCCCUCAGGAAGAGGUGACAUGCGACUGGCCAGUGAAAGGCAUCCACCAUCCAUGAUGGGCCCUUGACCUCGCCCACUCCACACCGACCCUAGGACUUGGAAGACACAAGGAACUCAUGUGAACACCAUGCUUAAACUGCAGCUAUUAUUUUACUGCAACUAAUAAAGUCCCUGUCUCUGACCCAGGAGUCUCAGAACUGGAGAUUGGCAGUGCCUCUAUUUGAAUGGAGGUCAUCUGACUCCCUUUGUAUCUUGGGUUCUGUUUUUCAAUAAAAAUUAUAGCAUUGUAACAUUUCCCUGUCUUAUUAGAAAUCUCCAUUACAUAUCCAGUGAGUGGAUAUGUUUAGAAGUCGCAUACACAUUUACUUAACCACUCACUCUCUUAUUAGGGGACAUUUUCGUCAUUUAAACUUUGCAGCGUUAGAAAUGAUGCUGCCGUGAAACCUGUGCGCUCCAGGUUCAGCUGUACCUCUGCGGCUCCCAGCAGGAAUGGCCUAGAAGAGUAAGUGCUGCACCAAGAAA
rnacentral:lncRNA from 1 species